rnacentral:rRNA from 1 species
AUUGAACGCUGGCGGCAUGCUUUACACAUGCAAGUCGAACGGCAGCGCGGGCUUCGGCCUGGCGGCGAGUGGCGAACGGGUGAGUAAUGCAUCGGAACGUGCCCAGUAGUGGGGGAUAGCCCGGCGAAAGCCGGAUUAAUACCGCAUACGACCUGCGGGUGAAAGCGGGGGACCGAAAGGCCUCGCGCUAUUGGAGCGGCCGAUGUCGGAUUAGCUAGUUGGUGGGGUAAAGGCUUACCAAGGCGACGAUCCGUAGCUGGUCUGAGAGGACGACCAGCCACACUGGGACUGAGACACGGCCAAGACUCCUACGGGAGGCAGCAGUGGGGAAUUUUGGACAAUGGGGGCAACCCUGAUCCAGCCAUGCCGCGUGCGAGAAGAAGGCCUUCGGGUUGUAAACCGCUUUUGUUCGGGAAGAAAUCCUCUGGGCUAAUACCCCGGGGGGAUGACGGUACCGGAAGAAUAAGCACCGGCUAACUACGUG